rnacentral:rRNA from 1 species
UACGGGGGGAGCAAGCGUUGUUCGGAUUUACGGGGCGUAAAGGGCGCGUAGGCGGCCAGCACAAGUCAGUUGUGAAAUCUCCGAGCUUAACUCGGAAAGGUCAACUGAUACUGUGCGGCUAGAGUGCGGAAGGGGCAACUGGAAUUCUUGGUGUAGCGGUGAAAUGCGUAGAUAUCAAGAGGAACACCUGCGGCGAAGGCGGGUUGCUGGGCCGACACUGACGCUGAGGCGCGAAAGCCAGGGGAGCGAACGGG